GCCGGGCAUGGUGGUGUGUACCUGUAGUCCCAGCUACUCAGGAGGUUGAGGCAGGAGGAUUGCUUGAGCCCAGGAAUUUGAGGCUGCAGUAAACUAUGAAUGUAUUACUGCACUCUGGCCUGGGCAACAGAGCAAGACCUUGUCUCUA
ensembl:misc_RNA Metazoa_SRP Metazoan signal recognition particle RNA